UGCAAGUCGAGCGGAAACGAGUUAUCUGAACCUUCGGGGAACGAUAACGGCGUCGAGCGGCGGACGGGUGAGUAAUGCCUAGGAAAUUGCCCUGAUGUGGGGGAUAACCAUUGGAAACGAUGGCUAAUACCGCAUGAUGCCUACGGGCCAAAGAGGGGGACCUUCGGGCCUCUCGCGUCAGGAUAUGCCUAGGUGGGAUUAGCUAGUUGGUGAGGUAAGGGCUCACCAAGGCGACGAUCCCUAGCUGGUCUGAGAGGAUGAUCAGCCACACUGGAACUGAGACACGGUCCAGACUCCUACGGGAGGCAGCAGUGGGGAAUAUUGCACAAUGGGCGCAAGCCUGAUGCAGCCAUGCCGCGUGUAUGAAGAAGGCCUUCGGGUUGUAAAGUACUUUCAGUCGUGAGGAAGGCGGCGUCGUUAAUAGCGGCGUUGUUUGACGUUAGCGACAGAAGAAGCACCGGCUAACUCCGUGCCAGCAGCCGCGGUAAUACGGAGGGUGCGAGCGUUAAUCGGAAUUACUGGGCGUAAAGCGCAUGCAGGUGGUUUGUUAAGUCAGAUGUGAAAGCCCGGGGCUCAACCUCGGAAUAGCAUUUGAAACUGGCAGACUAGAGUACUGUAGAGGGGGGUAGAAUUUCAGGUGUAGCGGUGAAAUGCGUAGAGAUCUGAAGGAAUACCGGUUGGCGAAGGCGGCCCCCUGGACAGAUACUGACACUCAGAUGCGAAAGCGUGGGGAG
rnacentral:rRNA from 1 species